rfam:Oryza sativa (indica cultivar-group) chromosome 3, whole genome shotgun sequence.
UUUAAGUGCAACCAUAAGUAAGUUUUCAUAGCCAACUUUAAUAUUCCGUCUUAUUUUUUAAAAAAUAUGAUUAGUACUUUUAUUGUUAUUAGAUGAUAAAACAUGAAUAAUAUUUUAUGCGUGACUUAUACUUUUAUUUUUUUUUAAUAAAACAAACUAUUAAAGUUAGACAUGAAAAAUUAUGACUAUACUUAAA